AACAAACGCUGGUGGCGUGUCUUAAGCAUGCAAGUUGAGCGGCAAGGAGGAGAGAUCCUCCCUAGAGCGGCGGACUGGUGAGUAACGCGUGGGUAAUCUAUCGUAGGCAUGGGGAUAGUCACUAGAAAUAGUGGGUAAUACCGAAUACGUUCCAUGAGGGGAGUAUUCAUGGAAGAAAGGGUGCUACGGCACUGGCCUUAGGUGAGCUCGCGUCCCAUUAGCUAGUUGGUGAGGUAAAGGCCCACCAAGGCGAUGAUGGGUAGCCGGCCUGAGAGGGUGUACGGCCACACUGGGACUGAGAUACGGCCCAGACUCCUACGGGAGGCAGCAGCUAAGAAUAUUCCGCAAUGGACGAAAGUCUGACGGAGCGACGCCGCGUGGAUGAAGAAGGCCGAAAGGUUGUAAAGUUCUUUUGCUAGGGGAGAAUAAGUGAGGGAGGAAUGCCUAUGAUGACAAGGACUAGCGAAUAAGCCCCGGCAACUACGUGCCAGCACGG
rnacentral:rRNA from 1 species